UAGUAGUCAGCCAUGAAUCCCUUUGGCAAGCGCUGCUCAGAGAGAGCUCACAGGGCGCCUGAAGGACCCUGUGCUGGUAGUGCUGCCGCAAGGCACUAAAAGCCACCGACGCUGCAAGAACAAAAACUCGAAGAGUAGGAGAACUGCAUGAUGCCCGUGAUGCACACCACUCGGCUAAAAAAAACUUUCAGCCACACGAGCUUGCCUAGCUACCGAAAGAAGCUAGACGCUGCUAGUGCUCUCGACCAGAUGCCAGUCUGCUGCUAGAACUCAAGAACAGAGAACCGACGAACACAACAACAGAAGAAAGUACUGUCACAAAAUCACCUAGAACUCUGAGAAAACAAGAGGAAUCGCUCCCAAAAUUUAGCCAGAUCAAAUUCAAGCUAGCAUCAACUCAUGCCCAAGAAAUCAUCGCCUGGGAUCGACCCAAAACCCAGAAAAAUCAAAUCGUGACCAAGAACGAAAAAGGGAAAACUCAAGAACACAGUAAGAACAAAAAUCACAGAUAACAUUGAGGAAUCCCGGAGGAUAACUGGAGGAUUUGAGCCUCCAUUCCCAUACCAAAUCUCAACAGAAAAUUACACCAUAAAAGAUUCAGUUCAUAGAGAAAACUAAAAAAGAAAAA
rnacentral:lncRNA from 1 species